UGGAUUGGAAAAUUUUGUUUUCCGGGAAGAACAAGGGACUUUCGAAUAGGGCGUGCCCUUGACGGUCCCUGCCCAAAAAGCCCCGGCUAAUUACGUCCCAGCAGCCGCGGUAAUACGUAGGGGGCAAGCGUUGUCCGGAAUUAUUGGGCGUAAAGCGCGCGCAGGCGGUCCUUUAAGUCUGAUGUGAAAGCCCACGGCUUUAACCGUGGAGGGUCAUUGGAAACUGAGGGACUUGAGUACAGAAGAGGAGAGUGGAAUUCCACGUGUAGCGGUGAAAUGCGUAGAGAUGUGGAGGAACACCAGUGGCGAAGGCGACUCUCUGGUCUGUAACUGACGCUGAGGUGCGAAAGCGUGGGUAGCAAACAGGAUUAGAUACCCUGGUAGUCCACGCCGUAAACGAUGAGUGCUAGGUGUCAAGGGGUUUCCGCCCCUUGGUGCUGGAGUUAACGCAUUAAGCACUCCGCCUGGGGAGUACGGCCGCAAGGCUGAAACUCAAAAGAAUUGACGGGGGCCCGCACAAGCGGUGGAGCAUGUGGUUUAAUUCGAAGCAACGCGAAGAACCUUACCAGGUCUUGACAUCCUCUGCUAUCGAUAGAGAUAUCGAGUUCCCUUCGGGGACAGAGUGACAGGUGGUGCAUGGUUGUCGUCAGCUCGUGUCGUGAGAUGUUGGGUUAAGUCCCGUAACGAGCGCAACCCUUGAUCUUAGUUGCCAUCAUUAAGUUGGGCACUCUAAGGUGACUGCCGGUGACAAAUCGGAGGAAGGUGGGGAUGACGUCAAAUCAUCAUGCCCCUUAUGACCUGGGCUACACACGUGCUACAAUGGAUGGAACAGAGGGCAGCGAAACCGCAAGGUGGAGCGAAUCCCACAAAACCAUUCUCAGUUCGGAUUGUAGGCUGCAAUUCGCCUACAUGAAGCAGGAAUCGCUAGUAAUCGCGGAUCAGAAUGCCGCGGUGAAUACGUUCCCGGGCCUUGUACACACCGCCCGUCACACCACGAGAGUUAGCAACACCCGAAGUCGGUGAGGUAACCAUUUUAUGGAACCAGCCGCCGAAGGUGGGGCGAAUGAUUGGGGUGAAGUCGUAACAAGGUAGCCGUAUCGGAAGGUGCGGCUGGAUCACCUCCU
rnacentral:rRNA from 1 species